UACGGAGGGUGCAAGCGUUAAUCGGAAUUACUGGGCGUAAAGGGUGCGUAGGUGGUUUGGUAAGUUAUCUGUGAAAUCCCCGGGCUCAACCUGGGCAGGUCAGAUAAUACUGCUGAACUCGAGUAUGGGAGAGGGUAGUGGAAUUUCCGGUGUAGCGGUGAAAUGCGUAGAGAUCGGAAGGAACACCAGUGGCGAAGGCGGCUACCUGGCCUAAUACUGACACUGAGGCACGAAAGCGUGGGGAGCAAACAGGG
rnacentral:rRNA from 1 species